AUUGAACGCUGGCGGCAGGCCUAACACAUGCAAGUCGAGCGAGCGGCGGACGGGUGAGUAAUGUCUGGGAAACUGCCUGAUGGAGGUGGAUCACUACUGGAAACGGUAGCUAAUACCGCAUACCAUCAGAUGUGCCCAGAUGGGAUUAGCUAGUAGGUGGGGUAACGGCGCCCCUAGGCGACGAUCCCUAGCUGGUCUGAGAGGAUGCCCAGCCACACUGGAAUGUGGACACGGUCUAGACUCCUACGGGAGGCAGCAGGGGGGAAUAGUGGACAAUGGGCGCAAGCCUGAUGCAGCCAGGCCGCGGGUGUGAAGAAGGCCUUCGGGUUGUAAAGCACUUUCAGCGGGGAGGCGUUACCCGCAGAAGAAGCACCGGCUAACUCCGUGACAGCAGCCGCGGUAAUUC
rnacentral:rRNA from 1 species